AGCACCAGUGGCGGCAGCAUGGUUUCCAUGCCCACCCGCAGGGGCACCAGCGCCCCCUCGCUCCCCUCGCUGACCUGGCUUAUGGAAGGAAGGAAGGCGGAUGGGACCCGGGGACAGCUGGCCUUCUCCGCCCCCAGCCCUCCUCUGCAGCUGAGGGCUGCAGACCCAGCAGGCGCGCGCUGGCAUGCACCCUGGCGGCUCUAUUCAGUCUGCCCCAGCUUGGAAGCUGAACCCAACCCGGGGAGGGAGGCAGCAAAAGGCACCCAGAGAAGGACUGGAGAAGGCCAAACCAAGAGUGCGGGAUCACAGUCAAGGCUGCAGAGCCAGGAAAGACAGAGAUGCAGACUCCACUCCGGACCUGGACCCGCUGCACUGAGAAGUCCUGUGGAUGGCAGGAAGCCAGGAAAGGAUAUGGGGAGGGUCGAGAGGGAGGGCGGCAGCAGAGCAGAAUUGAGGAGCAGGAACUUGAGUGUGCAACUCGUCCCCAAACGUUGCACUUGACCCUCCGAGGGGGCCACCAAGGAUGGUGAAGGUAGGGGGUGCGGCGAACACAGCCACAGCUACGGGGGAAAAGGAGAAGGAAACCUUCCUGAGAAUCAACCAGGAAGCGUAAGGACGAUUGAACUGGCGGUGACUUUGUGUGAGAAAGCUAGACAGGCAAAGAAAGGAAAAUCAGCACUGAAGAGUGGGGCGAGGGAAGAGUUAGAAGCCGGAGGAGAAAGCAAACUGCACCCGAAACUAAAAGGAAAACAAAAAAAGGAAUCAAUAAAGAAAAUUUUCAGAAAGCACGCCAGAGCGAACUUGUUCCAGAAACUGCCAACAGAGGGAGGACAAAAAGGGUGGGGGCGCGGAACACACUGGAGGAACCAAAGUGAAGGAAGGAAGGGAGAGAAGACGGGAUGCAAAUUAAACCAGACACGACAUAGAUAUCAGUUCCAAGGUAGUCUCCUCAUCACAGAUGAAUCAGGACUGCUAACAGGUGUCUGAGGUCUGUGCUUCCUCAUCCGUGACAUGAGUUUUUAGCAAGACUAACCAUGGCAGCUACUCUCAGGAUCCCCUAAAGAUGCCUUUACCCACAGCAGGAAGUAAUUUUUUUUUCCUGGGGAAAGAUAACAUUUUAUUGGAUCUAGACAUGCCAGCUCCUGGCAGCACCAAUCUACUUCAGAGAAGAUAUGGGCA